rnacentral:rRNA from 1 species
UACGGGGGGGGUAAGCGUUGUUCGGAAUUACUGGGCGUAAAGCGCACGUAGGCGGCUUUACAAGUCAGGGGUGAAAGCCCGCGGCUCAACCGCGGAAUUGCCCUUGAGACUGUAUCGCUUGAACACGGGAGAGGUGAGUGGAAUUCCGAGUGUAGAGGUGAAAUUCGUAGAUAUUCGGAAGAACACCAGUGGCGAAGGCGGCUCACUGGACCGUAGUUGACGCUGAGGUGCGAAAGCGUGGGGAGCAAACAGG